UCAGUGUGUGUGUUAGUGGAAGCGUCUGGAAAGGCGUGCGAUACAGGGUGACAGCCCCGUACACAAAAAUGCACAUAUUGUGAGCUUGAUGAGUAGGGCGGGACACGUGGUAUCCUGUCUGAAUAUGGGGGGACCAUCCUCCAAGGCUAAAUACUCCUGACUGACCGAUAGUGAACCAGUACCGUGAGGGAAAGGCGAAAAGAACCCCGGCGAGGGGAGUGAAAAAGAACCUGAAACCGUGUACGUACAAGCAGUGGGAGCACGCUUAGGCGUGUGACUGCGUACCUUUUGUAUAAUGGGUCAGCGACUUAUAUUCUGUAGCAAGGUUAACCGAAUAGGGGAGCCGAAGGGAAACCGAGUCUUAACUGGGCGUUAAGUUGCAGGGUAUAGACCCGAAACCCGGUGAUCUAGCCAUGGGCAGGUUGAAGGUUGGGUAACACUAACUGGAGGACCGAACCGACUAAUGUUGAAAAAUUAGCGGAUGACUUGUGGCUGGGGGUGAAAGGCCAAUCAAACCGGGAGAUAGCUGGUUCUCCCCGAAAGCUAUUUAGGUAGCGCCUCGUGAAUUCAUCUCCGGGGGUAGAGCACUGUUUCGGCAAGGGGGUCAUCCCGACUUACCAACCCGAUGCAAACUGCGAAUACCGGAGAAUGUUAUCACGGGAGACACACGGCGGGUGCUAACGUCCGUCGUGAAGAGGGAAACAACCCAGACCGCCAGCUAAGGUCCCAAAGUCAUGGUUAAGUGGGAAACGAUGUGGGAAGGCCCAGACAGCCAGGAUGUUGGCUUAGAAGCAGCCAUCAUUUAAAGAAAGCGUAAUAGCUCACUGGUCGAGUCGGCCUGCGCGGAAGAUGUAACGGGGCUAAACCAUGCACCGAAGCUGCGGCAGCGACGCUUAUGCGUUGUUGGGUAGGGGAGCGUUCUGUAAGC
rnacentral:rRNA from 1 species